UACGUAGGUGGCAAGCGUUAUCCGGAUUUAUUGGGCGUAAAGGGAACGCAGGCGGUCUUUUAAGUCUGAUGUGAAAGCCUUCGGCUUAACCGGAGCAGUGCAUUGGAAACUGGGAGACUUGAGUGCAGGAGAGGUAAGUGGAAUUCCUAGUGUAGCGGUGAAAUGCGUAGAUAUUAGGAGGAACACCAGUGGCGAAGGCGGCUUACUGGACUGUAACUGACGUUGAGGCUCGAAAGCGUGGGGAGCAAACAGG
rnacentral:rRNA from 1 species